rnacentral:sRNA from 1 species
UGGGAGCUGGGCUCCUGACAUCACUGUGUCCUCCCCGCAGAGCCGGUGAAGGACCCUUAUGUCAUGUUCCCACAGAACGCUAAGCCUGGAUUCAAGCACGCUGGCAGCGAAGGGGAACUCUACCCCCCAGAAUCUCAGCCACCAGUUUCAGGCUCUGGACCCCCUGAGGACCUGGAGGAUGCUGGACCCCCAACACUG